rnacentral:lncRNA from 10 species
CAGACACAUAGGUUGAUUCUAUAUUUGGUUAUUGGGAAUAGUGCUGCAGUAAACACGAGAGUGCAGAUAUUUCUUUGAGACACAGAUUUCAAUUUCUUUGGAUACAUACUCAGGGUCCUAUACAGAUAGAACACUUGCUCUUUGAACACGUCUAAUGGCCAGCCCAGCAGGAAAAGAGACAUCUAGAGAGAGGGUUUGCCUUGACAAUUAAAUGCUUUACUCACAAUCCAUUAGCUAGAAUUAUGUGACCAUACCCAACCACAUGAGGACCAGGAAGUACAAUACUACCAUGUGCCUAAGAA